rnacentral:rRNA from 1 species
GACGAACGCUGGCGGCGUGCUUAACACAUGCAAGUCGAACGAUGAAGCUGGAGCUUGCUCCGGUGGAUUAGUGGCGAACGGGUGAGUAACACGUGAGCAAUCUGCCCUUGACUCUGGGAUAACUGCGGGAAACUGUAGCUAAUACCGGAUAUGAGGCUCGAAGGCAUCUUCGGGUCUGGAAAGAAUUUCGGUCAAGGAUGAGCUCGCGGCCUAUCAGCUUGUUGGUGAGGUAAUGGCUCACCAAGGCGACGACGGGUAGCCGGCCUGAGAGGGUGACCAGCCACACUGGGGCUGAGACACGGCCCAGACUCCUACGGGAGGCAGCAGUGGGGAAUAUUGCACAAUGGGCGAAAGCCUGAUGCAGCAACGCCGCGUGAGGGAUGAAGGCCUUCGGGUUGUAAACCUCUUUUAGCAGGGAAGAAGCGAAAGUGACGGUACCUGCAGAAAAAGCACCGGCUAACUACGUGCCAGCAGCCGCCGUAA